rnacentral:rRNA from 1 species
CCCUUAGAUGUUCUGGGCCGCACGCGUGCUACACUGAGUGGAUCAGCGGGUCAGGUUGCGCGAAAGCGUUUCCUAAUCUUGAAAUCCGCUCGUGAUGGGGAUUGACGGUUGCAAUUUUCUGCCAUGAACGAGGAAUACCUUGUAAGCGCGAGUCAUCAUCCCGCGCUGAAUACGUCCCUGCCCUUUGUACACACCGCCCGUCGCUCCUACCGAUUGAGUGGUCCGGUGAGGCUUUGGGAUCUGAGCGGAAAGAGCGUUUCGCUCGUUCUGCCCGGAAAACUCAGUCGAACCUUAUCAUUUAGAGGAAGGAGAAGUCGUAACA